UUCGGAUUGAAAUUUUAGUGACUGAGUGGCGGACGGGUGAGUAACGCGUGGGUAACCUGCCCUGUACAGGGGGACAACAGUUGGAAACGACUGCUAAUACCGCAUGACACAUUCGGGCGGCAUCGCCUGGAUGUCAAAGAUUUUAUCGCUGAGAGAUGGCCUCGCGUCUGAUUAGCUAGUUGGUGAGGUAACGGCCCACCAAGGCGACGAUCAGUAGCCGGCCUGAGAGGGUGAACGGCCACAUUGGGACUGAGACACGGCCCAGACUCC
rnacentral:rRNA from 1 species